rnacentral:lncRNA from 1 species
GAAAACAGUGUGGGGCAAAGAACAGGACUAGGCUUUGAAACCCACAGUGGGUGUUGGCAAAAGUCACCUUUGUUUCAGCUUCAGUUUGAAUUUAGGCACCUACUUUUGAUUUUUAUUUUAGAGAAAAAAUUUAAAUUUAUUUUUAAAAGUACAUACAAUAAAAUAUACUCUUUUGACAUACAAUUCUAAGAAUUUUCACAAGCAGAAUCAUGUUACUACCACCACAAUAAAGGCACAGAACAGUUUCUUCCUCAGUCCGUCCCAAAAUUAUCUGGGGUGCGACCCCUUUGGAGUCAAAGCCUCCCUGAAUCCUUAACCUCUGGUAACCAUGAAUCUAUUCUCCAUCACUAUAGUUUUGCCUUUUCCAGAAUGCUGUAAGUGGAGUCAUACAAUAUUUAGCCUUUCAGUCUGGCUUCUUUCUCUUAGCAGAAUGCAUAUGAGAUCUCUGUUGGGUUUACCAGCGCGCUGCUCAUCCCUUUUUAUUGCUGAGAAGUAUUCCAUCAUGUGGAUGUACUACUGUUUGUUUAUCCAUUUUCCAGUGGGGUUGUUUCUGAUUAUGAAUAAAGGUGCUAUAAACA